UACGGGGGGGGUAAGCGUUGUUCGGAAUUACUGGGCGUAAAGGGCUCGUAGGCGGCCAACUAAGUCGGACGUGAAAUCCCUCAGCUUAACUGGGGAACUGCGUCUGAUACUGGAUGGCUUGGAUUUGGGAGAGGGAUGCGGAAUUCCAGGUGUAGCGGUGAAAUGCGUAGAUAUCGUAAGGAAGACCAGUGGCGAAGGCGGGUCUCUGGACAGUUCCUGACGCUGAGGCACGAAGGUCAGGGGAGCAAACGGG
rnacentral:rRNA from 1 species